UCCUUCAAUAUAAUUUAAUAUAAUUCUCAUUUUUAUGCAUACUUCUGAAAUCCAAUUUUGUGGUGGACAGUCAUUUUUCGGGUAACAGUUUCUGAAAUAGCUUUAGCAGGAGCAAUUUGAUUUGUUAAUAUAAUAGGGAUUAACUAUGAAUAUUGUUGUUUAAAUAUAAAUGUAACUUGUUAAUUGAACUAACAGCUAAUAAUUGAAGUUUGUUGGUUGGAACCAUUUGACCAGGAGUACAGGAGUUGUAUUGGGUUAAAAGGAAGUGAAUGAUAUGAUGUUGAGUAGUGUUAUGGGUGCAAGGUAAAGCAAAAAAAUUGAAAAGAUACAUUAAACUGACCAUAACUGUUAUCGGUUCAGGUUGAAAAUGAUCAGUUUGGUGGUUUUAGUUUGAAAAUGAAAAAAACCAAAAUUGUUCAGUCAGAUUUGAGUUUGGCAUAAGAAUAAAUCGAGCAAACCAAUUGAUCUAAAAAAUAAUGGAGUUUAGUUGGCAUGAAAUUAGAAUUAGUAUCCAGUAGGUCACGAGUCCCCAAUAUGCACAGGCCUGCUUAACCAAACCGUGUCUGAGAGUUAUGUCAAAUAACAUGGUUUAGUUGGCGUAAAAUUGGAACUAGUAUCCAGUAGGUCACGAGUUGCCGAUAUGUGUGUGCCUGCUUUGCCAAACAGUGGACGACCAGACCUUAGUCCGUUACAGAUAAUUCGGUUAUAUACCUUUAGUGGUUCAGUUAGGUUCCCUGAAUAUUGGCAUGCCUGCUUACCCAAAUAGUAAACCACCAGAUCUUAGUUAGCUGGUUUGAGAUGGUUUGGUUAUAACUUUAGUGGUUCAAUUAGGUUCCUUGUAUUUUCUAAUAAAUUUUGUGGUUCGAUUUCACGUGUCCAAAUUGAUUACACCCGGUUGGAAAUAUGUUGGAAACAAGGAGCUAGUUUGUUGUUUAUAGCCUCAAGGGUAUUUUUGUAAUUUACUGUACCCUAGUUUUAUUUCCUUAUCUGUUUGGAAGUAUUGUAGCGUAUAUAUAUUCUUCCCCCUUGUAUUAUUUGGAUUAUUAGAAAAUAAAAAGAGCUGCUUUUAUUGUGGUUUUUUGUUAUGGAAAUCCUAGGAUUUGGAAAUUAGGAACCCAAUUGAUGAGUCCCUAAUGUCAAAUUCUAAAACCCUCAAAUCAAUUCAGCAAUAGCCCAAGGAAUAGAUUAGAUUUGGAUUACCCUUUGAUCGAACCCAAUUGCCCCCCUAGCUCUGGUUCUAAACCAACACAAACUCAAAGUAUGACUGAACUUAAUAAUAACUUUUGUGCUGAGGAUGAUAUGGUUGAUGUGGUUGAGGAGGACAAGACUAAUAUGAUAACUCCAAGAGAGAACAACGUUGCCAUAAGUGAUGAAAUUCUAGCAGAAAAACAGAUUGGUGAGACCAGCCCAAGAUGACAGACAAACCAGGGAUAAUCUAUCGUCUAAGUUCAAGGCGUUCACUGCAAGUCUCAAUAUUGCAAGAGUACCAAAGAACAUACAUGAAGCUAUGGAGAGUCCUGAGUGGAAGAUUGCUGCACGGAAGAAAUGGGAGAGCGUGAGAAGAAUAAAACAUGGGAUCUCUGCACUAUUCCUAAGGGCACAUGACAAUGGGAUACAAAUGAGUGUUUACUGUGAAGUACAAAUUAGAUGGAACCUUAGACACCCAAGGCAAGGCUAGGCUUACUGUGAAGUACAAACUUUUCUCUUGUGGUAAAGUUAAACACAGUUGGUGCUUUUUUGUCUGUUGCAGUCAACAAAGAGUGGCCUCUAUCAAUUUGAUGUUUAGAAUGCUUUCCCAAAUGGUGAUUUGGAAGAAGUGUACAUGAGUCCUCCUCCAGGUUUUGAAGAUCAGUUUAAUCACCAAGUUUGUAAGCUUCAAAAAGUCUCUUUAUGAUCUGAAACAAUACCCCAGGGAAUGGUUCUAUAGAUUGACCACCUUUGUUAAAUCUAAAGGCUUCACCCUACAAAGAACACAUGGAAGCUCUAAAUCGUGUUCUGAUGCAUUUGACAACUACUCUAGGUAAAGGUUUGAUGUUCAGGUUACUGACAAAAAAUGUAUUGAGGCUUAUACCGACUCUGAUUGAGUAGGAUCAAUUACUGAUAGAAAGUCCACUGAGAUAUUGUACCUUUAUGUGGUGUAAUUUUGUUACUUGGAGGAGUAAGAGGUAGGGUGUUAUUGCUAGGAGUAGUGUUGAAGUUGAAUACAGAGUUAUGAGUUUGAGAAUGUGUGAAGAGAUCUAGUUGCAGAAAGUUUUGUCUGAUCUUCACUUGGACAGUGAGUUACAUAUGAAGCUCUUCUAUGAUAAUAAAACUGCUAUAAGUAUAGCUAAUGGUCCAGUUCAACAUGUCAGAACAAUACAUGUGGGGAUUGACAAACAUUUUAUAAAGGAGAAACUUGAUAGCGAGAGUAUCUUUAUUCCGUACAUUUUGUCCAGUGACCAGUCACAAAUUGUUGAAAUUUUCACCAAAGGAUUACUCAUACAAAACUUUCUCGUGUUAGCAAGUUGGGUCUAAUUAUCAUUUACACUCCAACUUGAGAAGGAGUGUUGGAAAUACGUUGGAAAUAAGGGGCUAGUUGAUUGUUUAUUAGCCUCAAGGGUAUUUUUGUGAUUUAUUAUACUAUUGUUUUAUUUCCUUAUUUGUUAUGGCUUGUUGUAGCCUAUAUAUAUUAUUCCCCCUUGUAUUCUUUGGAUUAUUAGAAAAUAACAAGAGUGGCUUCUAUUGUGUUUU